rnacentral:rRNA from 1 species
GGGUGAGUAACACGUGAGUAACCUGCCCUAGGCUUUGGGAUAACCCUCGGAAACGGGGGCUAAUACCGGAUAUGACCGCUGAUCGCAUGGUUGGUGGUGGAAAGUUUUUCGGCCUGGGAUGGGCUCGCGGCCUAUCAGCUUGUUGGUGGGGUGAUGGCCUACCAAGGCGACGACGGGUAGCCGGCCUGAGAGGGCGACCGGCCACACUGGGACUGAGACACGGCCCAGACUCCUACGGGAGGCAGCAGUGGGGAAUAUUGCACAAUGGGCGGAAGCCUGAUGCAGCGACGCCGCGUGAGGGAUGACGGCCUUCGGGUUGUAAACCUCUUUCAGCAGGGACGAAGCGUAAGUGACGGUACCUGCAGAAGAAGCGCCGGCCAACUACGUGCCAGCAGCCGCGGUAAGACGUAGGGCGCGAGCGUUGUCCGGAUUUAUUGGGCGUAAAGAGCUCGUAGGCGGCUUGUCGCGUCGACUGUGAAAACCCGCAGCUCAACUGCGGGCCUGCAGUCGAUACGGGCAGGCUAGAGUUCGGUAGGGGAGACUGGAAUUCCUGGUGUAGCGGUGAAAUGCGCAGAUAUCAGGAGGAACACCGGUGGCGAAGGCGGGUCUCUGGGCCGAUACUGACGCUGAGGAGCGAAAGCGUGGGGAGCGAACAGGAUUAGAUACCCUGGUAGUCCACGCUGUAAACGUUGGGCGCUAGGUGUGGGGGGCCUCUCCGGUUCUCUGUGCCGCAGCUAACGCUUUAGCGCCCCGC